rnacentral:tRNA from 1 species
AAAUAAGAAGCGAAUUAAUUGCAAUCAGUUUCGACCUGAAUUACUUGAUAUCAUAGAUAUCCUUAUUUG